AUGGAUGCUGAUGCAAUUAGGAUUCCAUUUAAUUGUCCUGGUUGUGGAAAGUUUUUGAAGGAAGUUGUGCUGAGGUGAUGAAAGGGAAUAUCCAAGCUCAUCAGAAUCUAACGGCAUUGAAGCUCUACAAGGACUUACUACUGAGUUUCUAAACUCCCUCAGAACUUCAGGCUUGCCUAACCACAAAAUCAAAUUGAAAGU